AGCGCCCUGGAAGGAGACUACGGUCAACGGAAGGGGAGGCUUAGUCGCGGACGGGUGAGUAACGCGUGAGGAACCUGCCUCAGAGUGGGGGAUAACACACCGAAAGGUGUGCUAAUACCGCAUAACAUAUGGGAGGGGCAUCCCUUUCAUAUCAAAGAUUUAUUGCUCUGAGAUGGCCUCGCGUCCAAUUAGCUAGUUGGCGGGGUAACGGCCCACCAAGGCGACGAUUGGUAGCCGGACUGAGAGGUUGAACGGCCACAUUGGGACUGAGACACGGCCCAGACUCCUACGGGAGGCAGCAGUGGGGAAUAUUGCACAAUGGGGGAAACCCUGAUGCAGCAAUGCCGCGUGAAGGAUGAAGGUUUUCGGAUUGUAAACUUCUUUUGUACGGGACGAAGAAAGUGACGGUACCGUAAGAAUAAGCCACGGCUAACUACGUGCCAGCAGCCGCGGUAAUACGUAGGUGGCAAGCGUUAUCCGGAUUUACUGGGUGUAAAGGGCGAGUAGGCGGGAUUGCAAGUCAGAUGUGAAAACUAUGGGCUCAACCCAUAGACUGCAUUUGAAACUGCAGUCCUUGAGUGAUGGAGAGGCAGGCGGAAUUCCCGGUGUAGCGGUGGAAUGCGUAGAUAUCGGGAGGAACACCAGUGGCGAAGGCGGCCUGCUGGACAUUAACUGACGCUGAGGCGCGAAAGCGUGGGGAG
rnacentral:rRNA from 1 species